UUUAGGGAGAUUGGUGAAUACAUAAUUAAAUGUAAUUUAAUCAGAAGUUGAAAUGUUAAAAAUUAAAUAGAAGUUUGAGGCUAAAGCUUUAACUGGUAUGAAAACUAUUUCUAAACAAAAGUGAAGUCUGCUUUUUUUUUUUCCAAGGGUCGUUGUAGAAAGCAAAUUCAGUCCAACUGUUUUGUUCAACAAUAUUUACUUAUGUCUGAAGGGCAAAAAAAGCAACCUGUCUUUCAGAGCUGGUUUAUUUUUACUUUCUGCAUUUAAAGGGCCUGAACUGUAAAAAGCAGCCUGUCUGGGUAACCUCUACCGCCAUUUUAAGGCCCAUUUCCUGAGCGACCUCUUUCAACAAGUAUUUGUCCCUCUCAUAAAUGAAUUGGAGCUGAACGAAGUUGGGAUUGAAAGACACGCUGAAAUAUCACUUAUUUCUAAAAAUAUUUCCUGCUACACAUGCCCCUGUGGCUUCCCGUAAAAGGAAUGGCGUCUUGUAGGUUUGCAAUGAUCAAAAAUGUAUGUGUUGUUGUCGGCAUUUGAACUUAGUUUGGAUUCCAUUUGAUUUCUGUGUUUCUGCAAGUCUGCGCUGCAUCAAUAUUACAUGCCUACUCUAGCAGAAGAGGGAUUUUUCCUGUUGGGUAAAGAGAACCACAGAAAGCACAAACACACUGGCCGCAAACAACAAAAGUUUUAAAUAUUUCCUCAUGUGGAGAUUGGGGGGGUUAGGGGUUACAAAGGGGGGGAAAGAGUUUCAACACAACAGUUCACUUGAAAUGUGAAAAGCUGACAUGAAAGAAGAGAAGUGGAGACAGUUAAAAGUUUACGCUUUAGUAACCAAAAACCCACAAUUCCAAUCUGGCACAGCACAAUCUCACACAGCGCUAUACUUCUCGCAGGAGCUUCCAUAAAACUCCGUCGAUAAUGUCUUUAACACCAGGAUACUGCAACUCAGGGCUACAGUGACCGGGAAACAAUUAGAUCGUAGAGGUGGUAAGAUGACACCCCUGAAUGGGUGUUUUGGUGGCCUAUCUAAUGGAGGGCGAUUCCUACCCAAGCACCAGUCCAUUAACAACCAAUUAACUUCCUAUUAAUAUUUUACCAGACAGGGCCUCUCAUCCUGACGUGUUUUAAGGAGCUUUUCCCAGGAGUGUUUGAACAUGAGCAGCUUUUAGCACAGCAUAAAGAGGCCUGUGUAAUGGGCUGAAGGAGGAGGAGUGGCAACCUGAUAUCACUGAGAGUAGAGGAGGGGAGAGAGGAGAGGAGACAGACUUCUGCAGCUGGUCUGCCCCGCGCUGAGCCAAGCCUAAGCCAGAGUCCAAACACACACUGUGACUGCAGCACAAGGAAAUCCACGGCUUUAUAGCUGCGACACAAGAUCAGACAUGAGUAACGACCUUGUGCCAUGCACGGAGUGUAAUUGUGUUUUGAUAACUGAGGAUGCUUGAAAUUGCAGCUGGGCAGCAGUUUUUCCUCUGGGUGUUUGGGUCCUCCUCCUCGCCCUCCUGAAGCUCAUCAUGAAAUAAGUCUGGAGGAAGAGAAGCAAACUCGUUUCUGAACUAGUUUUGUGCUGCGUAAGGCUGGUUUGGGUGCAUGCUUAAAACUAGUUCAGGGAAACUCCCCGCCUUGAGACAAAAAGGAAGAAAUAGAGAGAGAGAGAGAGUGAGGGAGGCAGAAAUAGAGAGGAAGGGAGAGAGCGAGAGGGGCCAUUAUGACUAUAGCCUCAGGCUACUCCCAACGGAUAAGGCAUUUGUCUUCACUUGAAAGUAUGAUUUAUUUUUCCUCCAGUCAGAAGGGUUAUGUUUGUCGCCAUGCACUGGAAGGACUUUUGGAAAUAGCUGCAGAAGCACAAAUGUGAAAAAAAGGAACGUCCACCAGGACUUCUAAUGCGGGCUUCCCAAAGACUUCCCGUCUACAGUUACUUUGUUUGCGAUCACUUUCAGUCUUCAUUAACUUUGGUUAAUCAUACUGAACCUUGUGUCUAAUUUAUCAACAGGAGUGUGUGUGUGUGUGUAGGUGUAUGUGUGUGUGCACAUGUUUGUGCGUCAGUGUGUUGAUGAUUAAGAGAAAGAGGGCAAUGAAGGGAGGGGGGGAAGAUGUGGUUGUAUCAGGUUCCCUCCACUGGGUGUAGAUGUGGUCUUAGAUUUCUCUCUGGGCUGCUGAUUAACCGUUUAUGUGUGCAUGUGUGUGUGUAAGUGUGUGUGUGUGUGUGUGUGAGCUGGGAGUGCACUGAGGAGGAGAGGAACUUCAGCUUUAAUUUCCCCCAGCUCCAGAUAUUACACCCCCGCGCUCUCUGUUUUUAUUGGAACAGAGACCAAAAAACACCAAGUGUUUAUGAUGCAUUAAAACACGAUGGGGAACUCGAGUGUGGAAUUGUAAAUCUAUACAUUUGGCUCUGUCUCUCAGACGCAGAAUUAAUUCUUUUAUAGAGGAUUUGGUGUGUUUUAUGAAGACUGAUGAUUGUAACGCGCCAUGAAAUCAUGUUUAUCAUCUCGAUAUGGAGGACGAGGGGCUGGAGAGAGAGAUUUCUCCGUCUAGGGGGAAAGAGAGGGAAAUGGAGGCAGGACUUAAGACAAAAAAAAAUGCAGAGGGGCACAUGGGAGGAGGAGGAGGAGUCACUGAGUUUUUUGGGUUGAAGCACAGAAGGAAGGAAUUAUUCUGCAUUACCCUAAUGACCAUUUGAACAAACGGAUGGGUGAGGAGACCACAUUACAUUCUAUUAACUCGGCUUUUGUUGUCAGUGAACUGUUAAUGAUGUACAAAGGGAGCUGUGCAGCGCCCUCCUGGACAAUGCAUGCUCUGUGCUUCUAAUUAUUCUCAGGAAAGUGCUGACAGCCCUUAUACCUGGAGACACAUUAGCAGCCUCUAAUUAGAGUAAAUAUUCUUCUGGUAUAAUACUGGUAUAGCUUCACCAAUCCAACGGCGAUUAACUCCUGGCUCUUUUUUUUCUGCAGGGCUGCUUAUGCAUUCCCAGCCUUUCUCUGCCUCUCAUUCUCCUUCUGUUUUUUUUUUGUCUUGAUCAGUGCCUUCGCCUCUUCCUCGCUCCUUUCUUCUCUGCACUCAAUUUGCUUUCUCUCCUUCCUCCCUUCUCUCCUUUUUUUUUUUUUUGCAGCAAUGGAGCACCACUAGCUGUGACAGAAUCACAGCGGCUGCCUAGGCUCCAGCCAUCUCCCAAGUUCAUUAUAUCAGUACACAGUGUCCAUGCCCUCCGCCCCUCGUAGCUCCUGUGUCCCAGCCAAACACAAUGUGACAGCGCCGCCACAGCCCUCAUUUACAGCCAUCACAGGACAGAUUUCCCCUUCCAAGGCUCCCCCGUCUGCAGCCUGAUAGAUGGCACCCCUGCUUUUUCUUGCGCGUGCAUGCGAAUGUGGUGUUACACUGUGCGUCCGUGCAAAUAUGUGUUCAUUCUUGCCCUCCAUUCGUCUACGUCUGCAUGUGUGGAGCCGGGGCCUGAGCUGCUGUUUCCUCUGUCAGUACUGAUCCCUAAAACAAUGUAUUAUGAUAUUACUGCGCUUUGUUUACACUCGCUCACACACUGUUUUUAUAUUUAAUGCACUCUGCAUGCAUUGUUGAGAUUUUCCGCCUAUCCUCCCGGAGUGCUGCUCAGUUUUAAGUGCAUAGUUUGUGUAAGUCCCUCCAUUUCUGUGGCGCACUUAUUGGAGCACCCUUGGGGCGGGCACAUCUAAAGUUUGGGAAAUGCUGCAGCACACACUUUCAGAUAUCUUGUCUCUCCUCUUCUCUUAAUCGUAUACUUGUAGCCUUAGGCGUAGCUUCUGUGUCAUACUGAGAAGGUCAAAACUGAUACACACACACACACACACACACACACAUGUGCACCAACUGCAGAAACUCAUGGAUUUCUAAUAUCUCUAUCAAUUCUCAGAGGGUCCGAUUGUUUUACGGGAACUAGUGUCACAGGUCAAAUGAUUGAAUUAUUAAUGGAAGUGCUGUGCAAUAACAAUCCUUGUCUAUUGUGAUUCCAACGUGAUAUUCACAGACCCUCUCAGCCUAACUUGAUACUACCAUGUUACAAUCCAAAUCCAAUAUUGCAGACUCUGCAGAAGAAUGCCCCCCCCACUCCCCACUCUUCUAUUGUUUCGUCAGUCAAAGAGCGUCUCCUGCUCCCACAGUGGAGAGUAUAACCCAGUCUAUAGAAGCUUAUUGACUGCUAUGCUAUAUUUCCAAGGACAAGGCGCUGCAUUUUCAUCAAAACUGUCACGCUGAAGUCAUUCACAAUCAUGGGGUUCUUUUACUGUAAAAAACCCUGUGUGUGUUUUCAUGCAUGUGUGUGUCUAUACCAUACUGUGUGUGUGUGUGUGUGUGUGUGUGGGUAAUCCCAGUCUCUUUACAAAACUCUAAUCUUAAUUCCUUUUUAGUGCACCAAAUAUGGAUUUUCUUUCUGAGCUCAGCUGGAAAAUCAACGAAGCACAUCUAAAGCACAUUCAUGAUUCACAUUAUGGAAAUUAAAGCAGACAAUCCCGCAUUUACACAUUUGCAUAUAUAAAGAACCACACUCGGAGAGGUAUAAGUAUUUUAACCUUAUUUAACGUGCAGGAGAUUCAGUGGAGGCUAAUAUGCUGUUUUAUGAUGUUUAGAGAGGAGUUCACUGCAACCAGAGGCCGUCUUGGUUCCCUCAGGCCUUUUCUCACACAGUCUGUAUGGAAAUGCGUGUUAUUGUAAAAAAACCCUGCUGAUGGAUUCUUGACCUUGGCUCAGGAGGAUUUCUGGCUGUUUUGAGAGUGACCGUGGAGCAACAUGGAGGAAGGAGACGUAAGGUCACCCCUUUAGCAUUUAUUAUCGGCCAGCGCCAGAAAACACAACUCUUUUAGACAUCCUAAACAUAGCACACUGGACACAUGGGCUGACAACUUCACUUAGGAGAAGCAAAUCAAACAGGCUUGUUAAUGCAGCUGCUGAAAACAGUCCCAUUAGGAACAGUCACUCCUAUUCGUUGUUUUUGUAUCAUUCAUUCUUCCCUUUUCAUCGUCUCUCCCUGUUGGGGAAUGACUGGGGAAAGGAAGGGAAAAUGAAAAAGAAAUGAAACAUGUUCUCUUAAACAUUUAAUGAAGACAUUUCACUUCCACUUAUGGUUGGGUCUGGAUAUCAUAGUGAAUAAAACAAGAAAAGGAGAAAAAGAGUCGUGAGAGGUUUCGUAUUCCUGAAUGAAGGCGCUGCCAUGUCUACCUUCAUCAAGCUUGUUUGCGUCAUUAUGCAUUCUCAUUACUGCUUAACAGAAGUUUCCCAUCUGGAGUAGCAGAGUCCCUGUUUACAGUCCUCUCUUCCUCUCCUUCUUCUUCUUCCAUUUCAGACCUCGUAGACGUUCUCAGAGGCCUAAAUGAGCUUGAAGACAAAAAGAGCACAGUGUAGUCUCUUUUUUUCUCUGUCUAAUUUGCUUUUUCCCUCAUUAUGUUCCCCUCUUUACGGGGGAUAGAAAACAAAAGACGACAUAUGUAAUUACCGCAUGACUAAAGCGUAAACAUGCCUCAUAGGAUGAGGCUACGCUUUAGGCAGGAGGUUAAUUGUAACUUUCUCCUUCUCCUUCAGUGCCUGAGUUAUACGAUAGCUCAAAGUCAGAUACAUGAACAUGCAUAUGUGCUAACAUGCAAGCUCACACCCACACAGAUGCCCCCAUGCUGAGUGUGUGCACCCACUUUCGUUUCUCUUUCUGUCUUGAAAGAAAAAAAAAUCCUUAAUGUGAGUUAUGGUUUGUUUGUUAUGGUUUAUUGCUUUAUAGAGUGAGCUACGUGAUGCUUUAUCGCCGCCAUUCUCGCAAGCACAUGACAGCUAUAUUUUCUGCACUUUGUUCAGGUGUAAAAGAAGACACUGAAAGGGAGUACACUGAUAUCACUGGAGAUUGUACAAGUCUAUGUGCUUAAACUACUGUAUAAAAGCUGCCAGCCACAGCCUUAAAGCCUCCGGCAGUCCAAACCACAACACUACAACCAUGAAUGGCAUCCUGGCCUUGGUCUACACACACAUCAUUCCACACAUUACUCUCCUUAGCUCUCCUUUUGAUGUGUCAGAGAGAGAACCAGCCACUGUUCCUCAGUUUUUAUUGCUCACACAGCAAUGUGUGUAGAUAUAUACGUGUGUGAGAGAGGUGGGGGGGGAGCAGGGGGGUGUUUGCUCUUCAAAGGCAGCAAAGGGGGUGCACUACUUAAGACCUAUUAAACCUGGAGCUCUGUUCAUUGUAGCCGUGAGAGAGCGCUCUGCGUGCUGAGGCAGACAAAACGGCGAAAGCGUACCUUUGAACUGGAAUCAUGUGGGAGCUCACAUUUUCACAAGUGCUGCAGAACUGAAAACAAUGUUUUGGCGAGUCCCCUGAUAUGUGUUUCUUUUUUUUCUGCUAAGGGCCAGCAAACAGAGGAUCUGCUUGGGCUUUGCCCUGACGGUGUGAUAUUACAAGCCCACAGUACAUAAUCCAACAUACUGUGAGUUAUUAAAAUAUGACCGUAGCAGCUCCCCGGGGCUAUAUAUCUCACACAUACAGUGUCUCUCUCUCACGCACACACACUCUGUUGCAAAUUCCUGUGGCCCACAUACAUGCACACUGUCCAUACCUUUCUCUCUCUCUGUGUUCUCCUCUUAUGCAGACAGCCAGACAUGAGCACACACUUAUUUAAAGCUACACACCAGCUCAUAUCCCACAGCAGAAGGGGAAACUUCACCCACAAAUCAAUACUUAAAUGGAGUUUCACUCCUUCAUCACAUACUUCACACUGCAGUCGGUUGCCUUGCAAAUGUGGGGGAGGAAAAUGUGUCUGAGGAAAUAUAGGACCGGUCUACAUGUUACUCUAGAUCAGUGAGUUACAGGAGAUAAACAUAGCCGAGUUCUACCAGGAAGCAGGAAGGAAGUGAGACGCUCUAAAUCUGAUCAAUGCCACAGACUUUGGUUUAUGUGCAGGGGAUCUAAAAACAGACGAAUUAUCAUAACCUUAUUAUAAGCUGCAGGGUGGUUUGUGCAGAGCAGAGAAUGCGUAGAUUUAUUUUCAAAACUCAUUCCAAAUAAAAAGAAGCAAGCUGAGCGCAAGUGCUGUGUUAAUGAUAGAUAUGCAAGUAUUGGAUUCAUUUAUAGUGUGGGAGUGGAACACUAUUGUUAGAUCAUAAUUCAAACAACCUGCUUCUUUCAACUAUGCUAGAAGACACUCCCCAGAGGACACCACUGCAGUCAUCUGCAGUGAAUGUGUGUCUGCACACACGCACGUCCUAUAUCCUCAAACACACACACAUGCAUGUUCUGUAGAUUCACACAUUUUUGGUUUUCAUGUGGUCCCCGGGGCGCAGAGCAGGACAGGAGAUUUAUGUUCUCUGUCGUCCAGACAUGGUUCUCCCGGCUAGCUCGCCGCUCAUUAGGGCUCCUACACGGUCAUACGUGUUACUCUAACAAGCUGUAUAGAGCCCCCCACUAAAACCUGAUGGAUUCGCGGGGUGGAGUGGGGUCCCUCCCUGCAACAACCCGAAGGAAACGUCACAAUGCAUGAAGCAUUGCAGAAACAACUUAUCUCCAUCUAGGCAGGAAGAAGUCUAUAGAGUCGCUCAGCCAUCAAUCAUGGUUAGCCGAGUUUAUUAGGCCUCAGUUUAAUGAUGCUUUCAAAGACAUGGAGAUGCACUGGAAUUAAAAUGUUUGUUUUGCGCCUUGUUUGUGUAAAACAGAGGCGGGGAGGGCUGUAAUCAGUGCUGCAUUUGCAACUGAAGCGGGCGAGCUUGUUUGCUAAUCUCUAUAGUUACCUGAUAUGAAAUGAGUGUCGUUCUCAUUCUCUGUUGGUUACUGAGACUGGAGCAAAUAGGGAAGACCAAAUGAACAAACAGAUGAUUUGUUUGUGCUUCGCUCUGCGUACAGGGUUUUUCACUUUUGCUCCUAAUCUGCUUGAUAAUGCAUCCAGAGUCUAUUUUGCAUCUCAUGUCUGACUGAUCACGCUGUAUUCACGUGGCUGUGUGUCUGUUUUCGUGUGUUGUUCACAGCACAGAGUCAGCAGACAGCUUCCUGUGAGAUCUGUUACUUGUCAUGGAAAUCGACUUGAUGGAAAAAAGGAGCUUUGCUUUGUUAGAGUACCAUUUUCUUGUGAAAGCUCAGGCAAUAAAUGGUAAUAUCGCUGCCAAUGAAGCUCAUUUCAUCUAAGUCUGCACCCUGGGAUUUAAUCAAAAAUCCUGUAGCUGCUCACUUACGACUGAUGUGAUCGGCCUUUCCACUACAGAGGAAUACAUUAUAAUGAUUCCUGUAAUGAAGACAUAUUGCGCAUUCUCAGAGCAGCUAUUGAGGCUGUGACCAGAAAAAUAACGGACCUGACACAGCUAAUGAUCUCAGGCUGCCCUUGUUUCAUACUUUUUAUGUCCAAGGUGACAAAGUGACACACAGGUGAGGCUAGGCAAAUAAAGGGUAAAGGGAGGGAAGCGUUAUUUACAACUGUGUGAGAUGGAAGAUAAGCUCACGUUUAGAUAGAUGCCCCUACAUGCUCGCACUGCCAGUAAUUCAAGCAAAGCUAUCAAGAAGUGGCAAAUAAAAUGGCUGCAGUCAAAUUUUACAGACCAGUAAAGUGUAACUUAAUAAAGGCAGUGAAAUGCAUGCUGUAUUGACUGCUCGUGCAACAACAUAGUGUUUCCGAAAUGAUGGAGGAUGCCAUUAACAGCAUCAUUAAUGAGCCAACUCAAUGCCUCUGUAAUCAAACGGUUCCAUUCAGCAGUCUAACUUAUUCUAACAAACAGUGGGAAGUGAAAACAGCGACGAUAGCACAGGCACAGCCGGCAACACAUUCCCCCCAAGCCUAUCCUGAUUAAUCACGCUACAAUUUUUGCACGCAAGGUCUUUCACCUCCGCAGCCUUGGCAACAGUGAGGAGUUUGAUGGCUCUUGGAAAGUGCUGUUUUAUCAUCCCACCAAGCACAGGCUUUUUAAAUAUGGGACAGGUCGAGUCAUUCAAUCUAAAGCUGUUUGAGUUGGCGUGCUGCAUAGGUUUUUAAAAGAUAUUUGGGUGAUCUGGAGAGGGUUUCACUUUUCUAACACAACAUCCAAAGUAAACCUUUUCAUUUCCAAUGAUACAGAACCAGCGCAGCACAGACAGAGAGCGCUGCCAUUGUAAAUUAAUCAGACUUGUGGAGGAAAAACAGGAAAAAGCAUUCCUCAAAUUAGACAAAC